AUUGAACGCUGGCGGCAGGCCUAACACAUGCAAGUCGAACGGUAACAGGAAGAAGCUUGCUUCUUUGCUGACGAGUGGCGGACGGGUGAGUAAUGUCUGGGAAACUGCCUGAUGGAGGGGGAUAACUACUGGAAACGGUAGCUAAUACCGCAUAACGUCGCAAGCCCAAAAAGGGGGACCUUCGGGCCUCUUGCCAUCGGAUGUGCCCAGAUGGGAUUAGCUAGUAGGUGGGGUAACGGCUCACCUAGGCGACGAUCCCUAGCUGGUCUGAGAGGAUGACCGGCCACACUGGAACUGAGACACGGUCCAGACUCCUACGGGAGGCAGCAGUGGGGAAUAUUGCACAAUGGGCGAAAGCCUGAUGCAGCCAUGCCGCGUGUAUGAAGAAGGCCUUCGGGUUGUAAAGUACUUUCAGCGGGGAGGAAGGGAGUAAAGUUAAUACCUUUGCUCAUUGACGUUACCUGCAGAAGAAGCACCGGCUAACUCCGUG
rnacentral:rRNA from 1 species